rnacentral:rRNA from 1 species
ACGAACGCUGGCGGCAGGCCUCACACAUGCAAGUCGAGCGAGAUCUUCGGGUCUAGCGGCGGACGGGUGAGUAACGCGUGGGAAUAUGCCUCUUGGUACGGAAUAGCCUCGGGAAACUGGGAGUAAUACCGUAUGUGCCCUUUGGGGGAAAGAUUUAUCGCCAAGAGAUUAGCCCGCGUUGGAUUAGGUAGUUGGUGGGGUAAUGGCCUACCAAGCCGACGAUCCAUAGCUGGUUUGAGAGGAUGAUCAGCCACACUGGGACUGAGACACGGCCCAGACUCCUACGGGAGGCAGCAGUGGGGAAUCUUAGACAAUGGGGGCAACCCUGAUCUAGCCAUGCCGCGUGAGUGAUGAAGGCCUUAGGGUUGUAAAGCUCUUUCAGCUGGGAAGAUAAUGACGGUACCAGCAGAAGAAGCCCCGGCUAACUCCGUG